AAAUUGAAGAGUUUGAUCAUGGCUCAGAUUGAACGCUGGCGGCAGGCCUAACACAUGCAAGUCGAACGGUAACAGGAAGCAGCUUGCUGCUUUGCUGACGAGUGGCGGACGGGUGAGUAAUGUCUGGGAAACUGCCUGAUGGAGGGGGAUAACUACUGGAAACGGUGGCUAAUACCGCAUAACGUCGCAAGACCAAAGAGGGGGACCUUCGGGCCUCUUGCCAUCAGAUGUGCCCAGAUGGGAUUAGCUUGUUGGUGAGGUAACGGCUCACCAAGGCGACGAUCCCUAGCUGGUCUGAGAGGAUGACCAGCCACACUGGAACUGAGACACGGUCCAGACUCCUACGGGAGGCAGCAGUGGGGAAUAUUGCACAAUGGGCGCAAGCCUGAUGCAGCCAUGCCGCGUGUAUGAAGAAGGCCUUCGGGUUGUAAAGUACUUUCAGCGGGGAGGAAGGUGUUGCGGUUAAUAACCGCAGCAAUUGACGUUACCCGCAGAAGAAGCACCGGCUAACUCCGUGCCAGCAGCCGCGGUAAUACGGAGGGUGCAAGCGUUAAUCGGAAUUACUGGGCGUAAAGCGCACGCAGGCGGUCUGUCAAGUCGGAUGUGAAAUCCCCGGGCUCAACCUGGGAACUGCAUUCGAAACUGGCAGGCUUGAGUCUUGUAGAGGGGGGUAGAAUUCCAGGUGUAGCGGUGAAAUGCGUAGAGAUCUGGAGGAAUACCGGUGGCGAAGGCGGCCCCCUGGACAAAGACUGACGCUCAGGUGCGAAAGCGUGGGGAGCAAACAGGAUUAGAUACCCUGGUAGUCCACGCCGUAAACGAUGUCUACUUGGAGGUUGUGCCCUUGAGGCGUGGCUUCCGGAGCUAACGCGUUAAGUAGACCGCCUGGGGAGUACGGCCGCAAGGUUAAAACUCAAAUGAAUUGACGGGGGCCCGCACAAGCGGUGGAGCAUGUGGUUUAAUUCGAUGCAACGCGAAGAACCUUACCUGGUCUUGACAUCCACAGAAGAAUCCAGAGAUGGAUUUGUGCCUUCGGGAACUGUGAGACAGGUGCUGCAUGGCUGUCGUCAGCUCGUGUUGUGAAAUGUUGGGUUAAGUCCCGCAACGAGCGCAACCCUUAUCCUUUGUUGCCAGCGAUUAGGUCGGGAACUCAAAGGAGACUGCCAGUGAUAAACUGGAGGAAGGUGGGGAUGACGUCAAGUCAUCAUGGCCCUUACGACCAGGGCUACACACGUGCUACAAUGGCGCAUACAAAGAGAAGCGACCUCGCGAGAGCAAGCGGACCUCAUAAAGUGCGUCGUAGUCCGGAUUGGAGUCUGCAACUCGACUCCAUGAAGUCGGAAUCGCUAGUAAUCGUGGAUCAGAAUGCCACGGUGAAUACGUUCCCGGGCCUUGUACACACCGCCCGUCACACCAUGGGAGUGGGUUGCAAAAGAAGUAGGUAGCUUAACCUUCGGGAGGGCGCUUACCACUUUGUGAUUCAUGACUGGGGUGAAGUCGUAACAAGGUAACCGUAGGGGAACCUGCGGUUGGAUCACCUCCUUA
rnacentral:rRNA from 11 species